rnacentral:rRNA from 1 species
GACGAACGCUGGCGGCGUGCCUAACACAUGCAAGUCGAGCGGGGGGAGUUCUUCGGCACGCCCCUAGCGGCGGACGGGUGAGUAACACGUGGGCAACCUGCCUUGAGGAGGGGGAUACCAGGAUGAAAGUCCUGCUAAUACCGCAUAACCCGGUGCUGUCGCAUGAUGGCAUCGGCAAAGGAGCAAUCCGCCUCAAGAUGGGCCCGCGGCUCAUUAGCUAGUUGGUGGGGUAACGGCCUACCAAGGCGACGAUGCGUAGCCGACCUGCGAGGGUGAUCGGCCACAGUGGAACUGAGACACGGUCCAGACUCCUACGGGAGGCAGCAAGGAAUAAUAUUGCACAAUGGGCGAAAGCCUGAUGCACCAACGCCGCGUGAGCGAUGAAGGCCUUCGGGUUGUAAAGCUCUGUAUUCGCAGACGAAAUCUGACGGUAAGCGAGGAGAAAGCCACGGCUAACUACGUG